rnacentral:sRNA from 1 species
AGCCCGCUUUUUAAAAUACACACACGCUUCGUCACAUACGACAGGGUCCCACAAGGGUGCCGUAUGGGAAGUGUGGAGGCCUAAC